rnacentral:rRNA from 1 species
UUAGAUACCCUGGUAGUCCACACAGUAAACGAUGAAUACUCGCUGUUUGCGAUAUACAGUAAGCGGCCAAGCGAAAGCAUUAAGUAUUCCACCUGGGGAGUACGCCGGCAACGGUGAAACUCAAAGGAAUUGACGGGGGCCCGCACAAGCGGAGGAACAUGUGGUUUAAUUCGAUGAUACGCGAGGAACCUUACCCGGGCUUAAAUUGCACCUGAAUAACGUGGAAACAUG